UGGGGCCGCAACUAUAGCUUGGCUGCGGGCAGGGCCGGCCUCACAGGUUGCUGAGUUCCAGUAGGGUCUGGUCCAAGGUCUGAUGAAUCUCCACGUUUCCUCCUUGGCACUGGCCAACGUCUCUUCUAGGUCAUCGGUGGUUUUCUCCAACUUUGCCAGAGACCUUUUGACAAACUCUACUCUGGUCUCAGCCUCCUUCAGUUUCUCCUCCAGCAGUUUCAUCUCCUUUUCAUAUUUCUCUUCUUUGGUGGAAUACUCCUCCUCUGAGGCCAUCAGGGACUUGAUGCAGCUGUUCUUUGCUGGGUGUCAUUCCUGUCACUGUGAGGACACUGGCAAACGAAAGAGAUAGGUCCUUGCCUUCGGGACUCCUAGAGUUGAGGACAGAUAAUGCAUAGGAAGAAACAGGUUUCUUACUUCCUGGUCACAAAAUGGCUGCCAAAGUCCAUAAGCUAAAUCCUAAUGUGAGUGAACAUGAUCAAGAAGUUCACAAUUUUAAGGAUUCAUGACCACUACCCCAAAAUAUGGCACCUUUGCCUGUGUGGAAACAACAGAAGCAGGAAGAUUACUCUCAUUUUUCUCUGGCCUUUUUCCCUUGAAGCAGACCAUAAAGAAGAAUCUGACCUUCCUCUGAAGGAAACCUUCAUUCCAGACAUACCCUCCCUAUAUCCAAAGAACAUCUUUAUCUUUAAAGACACAGAGAUGCCAAGAAGAAUCUGAACAAACAGGCUUUGCCAGAUCCUCCGGUUUACUAAUAUUGGACCAUACUCUUUUGUUCUUCAAUCAUACUUCUGCAUUAUGUCCAUAAAAAUACACAGUUUUCCCCAUUCCUUUGGGUAUUUAUUCCCGAAAGCUUCUGUGUCAUGUAAAACUUAUAUUAAAUAAAUUUGUAUGCUUUUGCUUGUG